GCCGGGCCUGUGUGCGGGUGUGGAACCGGCGGGGAAGGGUGGGGGAACGACAGCUGUACCUGUGCUGGGGCAUAGACACACCGGGAAAGGAGGGAAGCGAACGCCGUUCCUGCGCCGGGGAUGUACCCGGCGGGAAAGGAGGGGAACGACAGCCGUACCUUUGCGCGGGGGGUGCACCCGGCGGAAAAGGAUAGGAACGACAGCCGUAGUGCACCGCGGGAUAGACCACCGGCACGCCGCCGCCAUCAACCGAAACGGCGGAGCCCCGCCCUCGGGACGGAGUCUCCCAUGCCCCGGUGACAGUGUCCGGACGGGACACUGGUCCCUGCGCGCCACAAAACACAAGCGAGCGGGAAAGGCACCGGCUCAGCAGGCAAGGCUUGAACCCAUCGAUCCAUUUCAACGAAUAUUCAUAAAAGAAGUAGUACGCUUAAAGGAAGAAUUCAAUGCUUCUUCUUGGCAGCAUGACAACAGAUGGUCAGGAUUUUUACUCCCACUCUUGAGAAGACUUCAGUAUGACUUUAAACCCCUGUAAUACUGAAGGGGGGGGAAACCCAAACCCCUAUUUAUUGUUGACAAAAAACUGAACAUGAGCCAGUAGUGUGGGCUGGCAGCCCGCAAAGCCAGACAUAUCCUGGACUGCAUCUAAAGGAGUGUGGCCAGCAGGGUGAGGGAGGAAAUUCCAUCCCUGUACUUUGCUUUGGUGAGACCCUACCUGGAGUGCUGCAUCCAGCUCUGGUGCCUCCAAAAUAAGAAGGAUAUGGAAGUGUUGGAGCAAGUCCAGGGAAGGCCACGAAGUGAAAAGGGAACUGGAACACCUCUCCUAUGAAGACAGGCUGAGAAAAUUUGUGCUCUGUCCCAUUUUACACUGUAAGUUUUCAGUAACUGCAGAGGUGACUUGUAAUUAUCAGUGAAGCUACAGCUUUGAAGCUGCAUGAGUAAGAUAAUUUUUCCAUUCUUUUUUUAAUGUAAAUGAGUAGUUGACUAGAUAUAAAUAAACCAAAUGCGUAACUAGA